rnacentral:rRNA from 1 species
UACGGGGGGGGCAAGCGUUGUUCGGAAUUACUGGGCGUAAAGGGUGCGUAGGCGGCUCUCUAAGUCGGAUGUGAAAACUCUGGGCUCAACCCAGAGCCUGCAUCUGAAACUGGAGGGCUAGGGUUCUGGAGGGGAAAGCGGAAUUCCUGGUGUAGCGGUGAAAUGCGUAGAUAUCAGGAGGAACACCGGUGGCGAAGGCGGCUUUCUGGACAGAUACCGACGCUGAGGCACGAAAGCUAGGGGAGCAAACAGGAUUAGAUACCCCCGUAGUCC